rnacentral:rRNA from 1 species
UACGUGAGGGGCGAACGUUGUUCGGUGUCACUGGGCUUAAAGGGUGCGUAGGUGGUUGCGUAAGUCACGUGUGAAAUCCCUCGGCUUACCCGGGGAAUUGCGCGUUAUACUGCGUGACUUGAGGAUUUCAGGGGAAUGGGGAACUCCAGGUGUAGCGGUGAAAUGCGCAGAUAUCUGGGGGAAGGCCGGCGGCGAAGGCGCCAUUCUGGGAAAUUCCUGACACUGAGGCACGAAAGCGUGGGGAGCAAACAGG